UACGUAGGGUGCAAGCGUUAAUCGGAAUUACUGGGCGUAAAGCGUGCGCAGGCGGUUUUGUAAGACAGGUGUGAAAUCCCCGGGCUUAACCUGGGAACUGCAUUUGUGACUGCAAGGCUGGAGUGCGGCAGAGGGGGAUGGAAUUCCGCGUGUAGCAGUGAAAUGCGUAGAUAUGCGGAGGAACACCGAUGGCGAAGGCAACCCCCUGGGCCUGCACUGACGCUCAUGCACGAAAGCGUGGGGAGCAAACAGG
rnacentral:rRNA from 1 species